ACCCUUUGUGACAUACCUAUAUGUUGCUUCGGCGGCCGGCCCCCCGGGGCGUCCGCCGGAGGAUAACCAAACUCUGAUUUAACGACGUUUCUUCUGAGUGGCACAAGCAAAUAAUCAAAACUUUUAACAACGGAUCUCUUGGUUCUGGCAUCGAUGAAGAACGCAGCGAAAUGCGAUAAGUAAUGUGAAUUGCAGAAUUCAGUGAAUCAUCGAAUCUUUGAACGCACAUUGCGCCCGCCAGCAUUCUGGCGGGCAUGCCUGUUCGAGCGUCAUUUCAACCCUCAAGCACUGCUUGGUGUUGGGGCUCUACGGUUGACGUAGGCCCCCAAAGCUAGUGGCGGACCCUCUCGGAGCCUCCUUUGCGUAGUAACUUUUGUCUCGCACUGGGAUUCGGAGGGACUCUAGCCGUUAAACCCCCCAAUUUUCCAAAGGUUGACCUCGGAUCAGGUAGGAAUACCCGCUGAACUUAAGCAUAUCAA
rnacentral:rRNA from 1 species